AAUCCGUAGCAGCAAAACAAAUCUUGGCUAAUAUUUUCUUCCAGGUUUGAAAAUCGUUUUUAAACUUCUUUCUUCUUUCUAAUUUUGAUACCUAUUCCACUCACUAAUCACCCAUAAAGAUAUAAAUACAUUAUUCAAGAAAAUAGAACACAAAUACGUUGUAGCAAAACUAAACUUGGCAAAUUUGUUCAUUCAGGUUCGACUCCUAGCAGUGAAAAAUACUUUUGGAUUCUUUUUUUUGUAUUUUUCAUUUUUAUAUCAAUUUCACUCACUAAUCAACCCUCAAGCUAUAAAUAAAAUUACUUAAAGAAAAAACACAAAUCCGUUGUAGCAAAACUAAAGUUGGCUAAUUAUUUCAUCCAGGUUCGACUCCUAGCAGCGGAAACUGCUUUGAGAUUAUGUUUUUUGUAUUUUUCGUUUUUUAUAUCCAUUUCACUCACUAAUUACCCCUCAAGCUAAAAAUAAAAUUACUUAAAAAAUAAAACACAAAUCCGUAGUAGCAAAACUAUCUUGGCUAAUUUGUUCUUCCAGGUUUGAAAAUCGUUUUUAAACUUUUUUCUUCUUUCCAAUUUUGAUAUCUAUUCCACUCACUAAUCACCCAUAAAGAUAUAAAUAAAUUAUUCAAGAAAAUAGAACACAAAUACGUUGUAGCAAAACUAAACUUGGCUAAUUUGUUCAUUCAGGUUCGACUCUUAGCAGCGAAAAAUACUUUUGGAUUCUUUUUUUUGGAUUUUUCGUUUUUAUAUCCAUUUCACUCACUAAUCUCCCCUCAAGCUAUAAAUAAAAUUACUUAAAGAAAAAACUCAAAUCCGCUCUAGCAAAGCUAAACUUGGCUAAUUUGUUCAUCCAGGUUCGCAUCUUGGCAGCGGAAAAUACUUUUGGAAACUUUUUUCUUCUUUCCAAUUUUGAUAUCUAUUCCACUCACUAAGCACCCAUAAAGAUAUAAAUAAAUUAUUCAUGAAAAUAGAACACAAAUCCGCUGUAGCAAAACUAAACUUGGCCAAUUUGUUCAUCCAGGUUCGACUCCUGGCAGCGGAAAAUACUUUUUGAUUAUUUUUUUUGUAUUU
rnacentral:lncRNA from 1 species